UUUGAUGCUUAGCCUACAUGGUA
rnacentral:miRNA from 1 species